rnacentral:rRNA from 1 species
GUGCCAGCCGCCGCGGUAAUACGGAGGGUGCGAGCGUUAAUCGGAAUUACUGGGCGUAAAGCGCGCGUAGGUGGUUUGAUAAGCUAGCUGUGAAAGCCCCGGGCUCAACCUGGGAACUGCAGUUAGAACUGUCUGACUAGAGUACAGUAGAGGGUGGCGGAAUUUCCUGUGUAGCGGUGAAAUGCGUAGAUAUAGGAAGGAACAUCAGUGGCGAAGGCGGCCACCUGGACUGAUACUGACACUGAGGUGCGAAAGCGUGGGGAGCAAACAGGAUUAGAUACCCGCGUAGUCCC